UACGUAGGGGGCAAGCGUUGUCCGGAAUCAUUGGGCGUAAAGAGCGUGUAGGCGGCCAGAAAAGUCCGCUGUGAAAACUCGAGGCUCAACUUCGAGCUGUCGGUGGAAACUUUCUGGCUAGAGUCCGGAAGAGGAGAAUGGAAUUCCUGGUGUAGCGGUGAAAUGCGCAGAUAUCAGGAGGAACACCGGUGGCGAAGGCGGUUCUCUGGGAAUGACCUGACGCUGGAGGAGCGAAAGUGUGGGGAGCGAACAGG
rnacentral:rRNA from 1 species